rnacentral:lncRNA from 1 species
UAGUCACCACUCCAUCUCUCCCCCGCUCGUUUUCUUCCCCCACAACCCGUAGCCGAAGCAACCCCGCCAUGGCCAUCGUCAUUCGCGCGCUCCUCGUCACCCCCGAAGCAUGUGGCCGUGCCCCUUGACUCCGCCCUCGCCCGCUACUUCCUCUGCUGUCAACCGUUGGAGCUCGGCGCCACUACAUCACCUGCAUCGAGUCAUCUUCCACCUUCGGCCGUCGCUCAUUGCCGCUUCGAUUUGUCGCCUCCAAGCCUUCCCCGAGCUUACUUUGCACCUCUACAGGUUCGCGGUGAGGUCCCCGACCGAUUCCCCUCGUUCCCAACUUCAAUCCACCCCGUUAGGCGCCACCCCCGUGCUCGUCCGUGUCCGCCAUGGCCGGAGCCCGAGCUCCCGUGUACGUGCUCUGCUGCUGCGCUAUUUGCUGUUGCUUGUUGUUCCUUGGCUCCGCCCGCACCCACCACCUCAGCCGCCAGCGUCCACCAUCGCUCUGCGCGCCUGCCCGCCUUUGCUCGCCGGCGUCGUCCGAGCCACCUCCGCGACGCGCUCCCUAGCCUUCCCGCCUCGGGACGCCGCUGGCCGGGGCCGCGCCUUGCUCCCCGCGUGCCACUACGGCUGCCGCUGAGGCCCCGUUGCCGCUGCUGCCUUGCUGCCACGGUCGUGGCCGGCCCCUGCCUCGAGCGAGCGCAGGCAAGCAGCUCCCCCCCUCGGUCGUCUCUGUCCCUGCAAGAUCGGGAUGGCCCUGGCUAACCGAGGAUUAGUUUAGGACUAAUUCCCCACUAAUGGCACACUGACAUGUAGGGCCCCCACCACUGUUUAUCAUAAAUAAUUCUUAAACUAAAAUUAGUUUACCCUGUGACACUGACAUCUGGGUCCUCCCCUAAAUAAAACAACUUAGUUAAAAUUAAACAAACGCUAGUCAAUGACACCUGGACCCCACCUGCCCUUUGACUGGUCAACUUUGACCUUUGACCCGCUGACUUAGCACACCCCUGGACCCCAUAGUCAUAGACCUAGGCUAGUCCACUUGUGGGUAUAAAAAGUAUUUUGCCGUAUUUAAUAUUUUCGAAUUUAAUUAAUUCCAGAAAAUUGUUUAAACUUUGGAAAUUCAUAUAAAUUAAUCCGUAGCUCGGAUGAAAAUGUUUUAUGUAUGAAAAAUGCUCAGAAAAAUAUGACGAACCCGAAUAUGUCACCGACAUACCUGCCACACCCCUCUAACCUACUGAACAUGGAACCUUUCCCUCUGAUUCAUCUGUCCGGAAAAUGCCAAAUGCCGGGAAAACCCCUCCGGAUGUUUUCCAUCUCCGUCUUCAACGUGUAGUACCGCGUUAGUUCACCCCUAACACCGUGUAUUACCAUAUUUUGCUUUGUGAUGCUUUGUUUGCUUUAUAUUUAUUGUUUCUUCCCCCUCUUCUCUCCGGUAGACCCCGAGACCGAUGCCGCCCCUGUGAUCGACUACAUCGGCGACGACACUUCUUCCUUUUCAGCCGAGCUUCCAGGAAAGCCCCCCCUUUGAUCAUCCCGAUAUCGCCCAUUCCAUUCUCUCAUGCUUGCAUUAGAUUUUGCUACUGUAAUUGUUUGCUCCUAUUCCGAUGCAUAGCCUGCUUUUGUAUCUACUGUUGUACCUUACCUGCUUAUCCUAAACUGCUUAGUAUAGGUUGGUUAGUGAUCCAUCAGCGACCCCCACCUUGUCCUUCUUGCCCCUGCUUCAUCAUCGAAGACCCGAUCAACGGGAUCGAAGACCAGGCCCCGGCACCGCACAUCACUUUCCCCUUAAUUGCUCGACACUACUGGGUUACUAUCGAGUGCCGAGGGUGAGACCUCAUCAGCACUUCUGAUGUUAACUCUGUAGUGUAGCUAUUCAGUCGUGGUCAUCAAGGGUGAUUUCCUCCUUAACCACUUCUGAUACGACUCUGUCGUGCAACCCCUCAAGUGUGAACCUCGAGGGUGGAUCCUCUUACGUUCACCUUGAUGAUUACAUCGAGUGGAAUUCACCGGGGGUGAUUCCUCGGGUUUUCCCCUUGAUGAUUAGACACACGGAUACUUGGACUUUACAACUAUUACUUGGAAAGGCGGGUCAACCCUGAGGGGUACCCGCGAGUGAUGUGGCGACGGGUUGACCUGGAGGGUGCCCGCGAGAUAAUUACGAGGUGUGGCCGGGCAUUCCUAGCCCUUGCCGCAAGUCCUCGAGACGGGGCAACGGGGUCACAUCUUUCGUGAGUCUCUGCUUGUUACCGCGUGCUCCUAAUCCACUACGAUUUGGAUAUUUGAUCCGAGGGGCCUCUGGCCUGAUAGCACUAACCAUCACGUGGGCAUAGUAUGGGCGUUCUGCGUCGUAUGCAUCAGCCGAAGUUUAAUAGACGUCAGCGACUGAGAGGCGUGCGCCGGGUUGGACUGCGUAAGCACCUGCUUUUUUGAAGGAGGUAGCUAGGUCUGCUCACCGGCCACCCUCGCAACGUGUAGGAGUUCCCAGGGCGAUGGCCCAUGACCCCUAGGGGCAUAGGUUUAGUCCGGCCUGCUGACCUCUCUAUUAAGCCUAGGUCGGGUUGCGGCGUAUUGUUUGGCCGAGGCCGGGCAUGACCCGGGAAAGUGUGUCCGGCCGGAGUUAAUCGAGCGUGGUGGGUAAGUUGGUGCACCCCUGCAGGGAAGAAAACAUCUAUCGAUAGCCUGUCCUACGGUAACGGACACUUGGAGUUGUAUCCCGAUCGAUACAACUAGAACUGGAUACUUGAGAUGAGACAUGGAUAUGAGAAAUGGAUAAUAUGGCUCUGGGAUUGCUUUCUCGCAGGGAGUCGAGAAAGGAUCUCUGGCCGAGGUUGAUAACACUACUACUACUUUACUUUAUGCUACUCUACUCCCUCCUGUUGCUGCAAGAUGGUGGUUUCCAGAAGAUGCUAGUCUUCGAUAUUACUAGAUUCUCCCCUCUAUUCUGGCAUUUCUGCAGUUCAGUCCACAUAUACAGCCCAUUUCAUUGAUACCGAUGCAUAUGUAGUGUAGUUCCUUCCUUGCGAGUACUUUGGACGGGUACUCACUGUUGCUUUGCUCCCCCUUUCUUCUUCUUUCUGGUUGAUGCAACCAGAUGUCGGAGCCCAGGAGCCAGAUGCCACCGCCGAUGCUUACUACUACGUGGAGGCCGCCGCCGACUAGGAGUAGUUAGGAGGAUCCCAGGCAGGAGGCCUUGCCUUUUCGAUCGAUGUGCUUUUGUGCUAGCCUUCUUAAGGCAAACUUGUCUAAUUUAUGUCUGUACUCAGAUAUUGUUGCUUCCGCUGACUCUUAUGUUUUUGAGCUUAUGUAUUCGAGCCCUCGAGGCCCCUGGCUUGUAAUAUAAAGCUUGUAUUAUUUCCAAUUUGUGUCUAGAGUUGUGUUGUAAUAUCUUCCCGCGAGUCCUUGAUCUUGAUCGUACACAUUUGCGUGUAUAUUAGUGUACGAUUGAAUCGAGGGCGUCACAGCGCCCUUCCCAGCU